UUAACAGUCGCCGAACUUUGGAAGUUUCGAGUAAUUUUGUCGUGCAGGUAACUCGUAGCCUCAAUUUUCCCGUGUACGUAUGAAGGGGCCGCGUAGACUGGUUCUACCUGAGCCGUGAGCCAAUCGUGGAGAAGGAUAACUUUGGUCGGUUGCCGCAUGUUCUGCACAUUUUCGCUUGCUUGUGCCAAUGGUCAUUGUGAUGAGCAACACUUUCAGGCAACAAGAAUUGAUGCUGCGAGUACAAGACGAGUGAUUAGCGUUUUAUCAAGUCGACUGGCGAAAGCAUAUGGCGAAUGGGGAAGCGAACAUAACCUAAUUCGACAAAUACUAAGCAAAAAUUCAUUUAAUGUGAUGUGAUCGAGCAUCGAAAUCUCCACUCCGGUGCCAAACUGACCGCAGUCUAUUUAUUGGUGCAUUGGUGUUGACUUUUCAAGGCAUCACCUAGUUUAUGGAUGUCAUAAAGACUGAGCACCUAGAGCAUCACAAAGCUGCGUUUAUAUGCCACUCAUAAAUUCCCAUCAGUUUUUCCGCAAAAUGUUCUAAAGUGCACAUCAGAAUGACUGGUGGCUGCAAUUGGUUGUCUUUUUUGUUUUCAGGUUGGCAAGCCUUAAAAUACCUAUUUCUAUUUUUCUAAAAUUUUUGACAAAUAAAAGUAUUGUCUGGCAUACAA